CCCCUCCUAUUGACUCGAGGGAUAGUCCUAGAUCCAAGGAACAAGCUCCUCCUCAGUGUCCCUAUAGUGCCCUAGCCACUUUUUGUGAAGCUUGACCUUGUAGUUCCAGUACAACUCUCCAAUUUUCUACAGUUGGGCAUCUCGAACCCUCUCAUGAUCUGAAAAGUCGUAUGUCCUAUGCACAAAGUUAUCAGAAGUCAGUUAUGAAAUUAUUCUAAUCAAACAUAGUGUAAACAUAUCACA
rnacentral:lncRNA from 1 species